rnacentral:miRNA from 1 species
UAUUUUGUUGUGAUUUUAAGACAACUGAUUUUGUUUCCUUAGUUAAGGAAACAAAAUCAGUUGUCUUAAAAUCACAACAAAAGA